AACAAUAAGAAUCCUACGCUAAAAUACAAAAAUCCUGCCAAAUUCAUCAUCAUUCAACGCUGCAUAAAAAACAUCAAAAAGAAGAGGGAAAAAAAAUCUCACUAAUAGGGACACCGGCGGCCAGACAUGGCCGCCGACUGGACUGAACUCCCGCCGGAAUUGCUCGAAACCAUCGCCGGGAAACUCACCAUCCUCAUCGACUACAUUAGAUGCCGAGCUGUAUGCGUCAAAUGGAGAUCUUCAAUCCCUAGAACCCCUCUCCACCUCCCCUGCCAACUCCCAUGGCUGAUGCUUCCCCCUCCCCGGACCCACCAAACCCACCGCCGUAGCUUCUUCAACCUCUCCACCAACAAAACCCACCGCCUCGACCUCCCUGAAAUCCCCUACCACCGUCGCCGCUGCGGAUCUUCCCACGGCUGGCUCGUAUUCCUCCACGAGUCGCCGGAGAUCUACCUUCUCAAUCCCUUCACCAGAUCCAAGAUUCACCUCCCUCCGUUAUCGACGUUUCCGAACGUUAUUGGCUUCAAUUUCUCCGAUAUCGGCCGCGAAUACUCUCUCAGGUCACCGGCCGGUGUUGUCUACACUUGCAAUUUGAAGGACAUGCGAAACAAUUUCAUUAAGAAAGUGAUUCUCUCGUCAAGUCCUUCGAAUGAUUCCGAUUUCGUUGCUUUAGCGAUACUCAAUCGAACAGGUGAUCUUGCUUUUUGCAAAAAGGGAGACAAGUCUUGGAGGUGUAUAGAAGGUUCAGAGUCUUACUGUGAGGAUGUUAUAUACUAUAAUGGAUUGUUUUAUGCUGUGGAUAAAUAUGGAGCUAUUGCUAUUUGUGAUGUUUGUGGUCCGUCACCUAGGGUUUCAAUUAUGGAUACACCGCCACAGUUUGGUGGUGAUAUGCAGUAUUUGGUGCGUUCGAUGAACCAGUUCCUAUUGGUAACUAGGUAUUUAGACACUGAAUAUGAUGAGGAUCUAUUUGAAAUUUUUGUAUAUAAGACAGUGUUAUUCAAAGUGUAUAGGCUGAAUUUGAGUAACUCAAACUGGGAGGAAGUGACAAAUUUGGGUGAUCAGAUGUUGUUCUUGGGGGAAAAUUCUUCAUUUGCUUUGUCAGCUUCGGAUUUUCCUGGAUGUGAAGGAAAUUGCAUCUAUUACACUGAUGAUUAUUCUGAGUCAAAUUAUGAUGAUGCUCCUUGGGAUCAUGAUUUGGGUAUCUACAACUUAGAAGAUGGUACUAUUGAAACAUUCCCCUGUUAUCAUUCUCCGUCCGGUUGGCCUCCGCCAAUUUGGAUUACUCCAAAUGCAUGUUGACUAUAGCCGGCGUGGUUAGCUCCUUAAUAGCACUUCAUAUCAUGAAAUUGUUGUCUGAGUUUGGCUAUCAACUGAUUGAUGCCUUCCUCAUAAGGAGGUGGUCGGCUUUCAAAUCUGUAAAUAUGAUUGGUUAAUGCAGAAACUUUCAGGUGUUACUCCCCUUCUGCCCUCGGAAAGGUGUAAUGUUCAGAGUCCCCUUGUAGAAGCCAGAAGGACAUUGAUUGAUUCGGGGAAGGGUCGUCGAAAGGAAAGAGCUACCUUCCAUUGCGUGGCCUACAUAAUGAGACCCAAAACUUUGAAGCGUGGGUGUUCCUCGCUCUACAACUCUAGUACAUGAAGCUGAAAUAGUUUAGCACUAGCGAAAGCAAAUGAAAAAGAAACUACAAACAGUGGAGGAUUUAUGGUCCAACUUAAAAGGCCAUUUGGUUCGAUGGUAGAAACUUGGAAUUAGAUCUAUCCAGAGUCUUUUCCUUGCAACAUCUCAUGUGGGUGAGACCAACCUAAGAUAAUGGUCUUAUCUAAAUUAGAAGGCAUGUACCUUUUCAAAACUUUGAAAAGAGAAAAUGGAGAAAGAAAAGAAAAUUUAAAGGGGAGUGAUAUCUUUGCUUAUGUUACAUGGAUUCUUCAAAAGUAGGUAAAGUGGGCACGUCCGACACACAUUGCUCGGACAUUAAUAUGGAAUAUAUGUCUGACACUUUUGGUUGGAUACACACUUUUAAAAUGUGUCCAAUAAUUCAGUUUUAUUA